GAUCCUGGCUCAGAGCGAACGCUGGCGGCAGGCUUAACACAUGCAAGUCGAGCGGCGUAGCAAUACGUCAGCGGCAGACGGGUGAGUAACGCGUGGGAACGUACCUUUUGGUUCGGAACAACACAGGGAAAACUUGUGCUAAUACCGGAUAAGCCCUUACGGGGAAAGAUUUAUCGCCGAAAGAUCGGCCCGCGUCUGAUUAGCUAGUUGGUGAGGUAAACGGCUCACCAAGGCGACGAUCAGUAGCUGGUCUGAGAGGAUGAUCAGCCACAUUGGGACUGAGACACGGCCCAAACUCCUACGGGAGGCAGCAGUGGGGAAUAUUGGACAAUGGGCGCAAGCCUGAUCCAGCCAUGCCGCGUGAGUGAUGAAGGCCCUAGGUUGUAAAGCUCUUUUGUGCGGGAAGAUAAUGACGGUACCGCAAGAAUAAGCCCCGGCUAACUUCGUG
rnacentral:rRNA from 1 species